UAUUUCUAUUUCAAAAAGUGAUAUAAUGAAGAAAACAAUACAAUAUAUACAAGCAAGCAAAUUGCAUUUAAUUUACUCAUAUAUAUGUACAUAUAUAUAUGUUCAAUAUACUGGAAUACAUUUUCAUAGGUAAUAUACUGUAGAUACACACAAUUUCUAUUCGAUUCCAUGUGGUCGCACAUUUGGCCAAUUAAAUGCAGUUUCCUCACCAAAUCCAUUCAAUUGUUUCCAUUUCACUGAACUUUAUGUGAAACGGUUGGAAUUACACCCAAGACAGAAAAAGGUGGAAAAGGAAACGGAGAGCUAUGACGUCACCUUUAAAUCAGCCCCAUUGGGGGUCGAUCUAUGGCCGCAUGGCGACACGAUUAAUUGAAAUGUAAAAGUAUAAACAUGCAUUUAAUGCAUUUUGUUGGACUGGGAAAAUCACUGUGAACACAGAUAAAACUAAGAAUAGAAGCAUUUUUCCACGGA